UUAUUCUGAAAAUACUGUACUUAUGUGAAAUUUUAAUAUGGAAUCUUUGUUUCACCAGGUAAUGUUGGCUUACGUGCAACAAACCGCUGUAUGGAAGAUGCUAGAAGGAUUGGUUGUGCUAUUUCUUUUUGCCUGAGCCCCUGAUAGGCAUUGUAGCUAUUUUGUUCCCAGAACUAGUUAACACAGAAGCUUAACCUACACUGAUGUCUAGCUGACAGAUGCUUCUAUACUGUAUGAGAGCGGUUUGGUUUUCAUAAGCUUUUCAAGAGCACGGUGGGAAUUCUUGCAUGCUAGGUACGCUCAGGGAGAAUUUGGAGCUUGUUGCUAAGAUUCCUGAAAGUGAAAAAUACCUAUUUACAGAUAAAUCUGGUCCUUUCAACUCUUGGUUUCCUUUUUCCACUGAUGAGCACUGUACUGUUUCCCAGGCUUAGACACGUAGUGAAUAUUUCACAGAUCCUUCAUCCAAGCAUCUGUAAAGACAUCCCACAGUACCCAGUGUAUGCCGCAGUCCUGUGGUAGUUUCGCAGUGAACGAUCAGUCCCAGGUGAAGCUGGCGCUGCACUUCACAACCCUUUGUACUACUGACAUGUGACUAUUGAUUGACAUUUUCUACAAAAAAAAAGUUGAAUAGGAAUCCAAUUUCUAACUGAAUACCAAUUGCGUAGCUAUAUAACUUGGCACAUUUAAGCACUGUAGCCUCUCUUCCUGGUAUGCAGAGAUUUAAAAGCUUGAAAAUGUUUUUUCAUAUUGAGCUAAAGAGUGAAAGCAACAUGGCUCAGACCAGCCAGUGGGUUGCGACAAAGAUGCGAUAUACAGAUGAACAAAGCAAACCAGAUCCCUGACUAAAUCAUGCACUCUGUGCUAAGUCAGUAUGAGGUUCAGAUGAUUAUAUAAGGCAUCUGUGUUCAGACCCUAUGGCAAAGGAAAGCUGGCAUAAUUAUAGUAAUACUUGUAAUUUUCCACUUGAUGCCUACGUGAUCUGGCGAUGCAAAAAAUGGUGAAUUGUGUCCAUACUGUUUGAAAACAACCAGGAGCUGGCAGAAUAUCAUGAAAUUUACUAUUUGGUUUUGGAUUUACUUGUUUUUUUCUUCCUUCAUUGUGUUCCUUUCCAUCCUCCUCCUUUAGCUUGUUAUUUAGUUUAAAGGAAAUGGCCACUCGUGGUUGUGUUACUGAUAAAGAAGUGACCCCGUCCAAGCUUCCUGCUAAGCCGGCAUCCCUUCCUCCACCCGCCAUAAAGCACAUUCUAGCAUUACAGAUGGAAGAUAAUGUUCUACACCAGUUCUGCUGUCCGCCUUCGGGGUCUAGUAGUCCAUCUUCAAGAUAACAGCGAAGCUCGGGGGCGCUCAGUGUGCAGUCAGUGCUACAUCUCUGUAGUCCAUCUCUCCUCUCUUACGGGUGUGUAUGGGACUGACACUUGCAUGGAUGCCAUAGGAUUCUGAUUCAUGUCAAGUUUGAGUUGUUGCGAAUGGCACAGCCGUCAAGUUUUGCCACUGAUGCUUGGUAAUCUCCUCUCUGUGCUUUUCUACAGCUCUCUUCCUUGUGUCCAGUAUUGAAACCACACGCAAACUGUAAACAAAUAAGUAAAAUGCACCGUUUAUUUACAACUAAAAUAAACAGAACCAUAAGUCUUUAAGUGUACUGUGAGUUUUGUUACUGUACGGAUACGGUCAUGUGGUAUGAAGGGUACAAACUAAACCGAUGCUGAGGAUAUGGGGCGGGAAUGGAGCUGUUUCUUAUAAUCUGUGUUAGGCUGUUUUUACUGCUAACCAUCCUAGAAAUUUUUUUCAAGGUCAUGUAAACACCAGUGUGACAUUCUGUGGAUGACACCAUAUAGAGAUUAACCAUUCUUUCUUUGCAUUUGAUUAUUCUGAAGAACGAGCGCAGUUCUGUUGUUGCAGCAGAUGCUCUAGCUGUGAGUGAUUACAUUUCUAAGCUGCUUUGAGGUCUGUCUCCUCAUUUUGUCUGCCUGUGUUUGUGAAAGUCCUGUAUCAAGCACUAGCAGAAGUACAAGAUCAUGCACAUGUACUUUCUGAUGAAAUUAUUAUUGUCUAAGCUGUGCACAAGAUUGUCGUUAAAGGAAUGAACCUGUUCUUGAAUGGCUCUGUAACUUCAACCAGGUAAAUGUGAACCUGGCCAUGGGUGUCCAAGACAGACUCCAAGUUACCAUUGCCCAAAAGGUGUGUUGAUCACAUCUUUCCAGACACAUCGUGUGGCUCUGAAAUAACUGGGUGGGAGGGGAAGAGCUAUUAAGUCUGUUGUUGCUAUCAGAAGUUAAAAUAUUACUCCAAAACUUCUGGAGCUCAUGUAAAGGUAGACGUGGUUUGGUGUAGGGUGAAAAGUUGACAUUUACAUGUGGUUAUACAUGGCUUUGAGGAUGGGAUAGAAGGAGAAUCAUCAUGAUGAAGAAGGGGAGAACUGUAAAGGUAGCAGAAGGCUCAUUUUCAUCCUGUAUAAUGUGCUUUUUUUUACGACCCUGAAGGGAUCCGUAUUAAAAAAACCCAGAAUACAGGUUAUUUGCUUUUCCAUUUGAUUUGAUCUACUGUUUCUUAGCAUUUUACCAAUAUUAUCUUUCCUGUUAAAUGUUUUCUUGUGCUUGCUUUAGUUAUGAUCUUGACGUGUGCAGGGCCUAAGGAAGAAUUUGCUUGCAGAAGGUUAAUGUCUUCAUGAUUUUGUAACAGUUUGUCCUUUAUUCUGACUGCAGACUGUAAACAAUAUAUGGCUGCUUCUGUUGUUUGUUAUUCCAUGUUCCUUAGUUUCACAUGUUUCUUAAUCACAGGGCAUUACAAUUUAUUUGAAUUACUGUAAAAUUUGAAUAUUAUGUGUGCAAAAAUUGGGUAUUAGCUUAUUGCAGUUUAAUGCAUCCCUGGAAGUGCUCUGAUGCUUUGUGGGCAGGGUAAAUCAUCGCAAUGUUUGGAUGGUGCUCGCAGUUUUGGCCUUUUGCUGCUGUAAUCUCAGAGUUGCUUCCCAUAGAUAGAAAGAGUAGGAACUUCUGAUAUUUUGACUUGCUUCUUUCCCUCCCCAAUACAAACAGCAAUUAACUCGCUCUGCUUAGUAUACUAAACUGAAGCACUGUAAUUAUUCACUUCCAUAGGGUAGGAUUUGUCCAAUCUUUCAAUGAGUAUCUUUAUAUGUUUGUGUAAAGGAAAAGAAAGAAGAAAGGCUGCUGGUUAAACACCAGAAUUAAAGGCAGUGCCUGCAGGUGCCAGCCCUCUGGCCUUGAAGAGGUGACAUUUGAUUAUCCUCAGUGUGGUUAUAGUUAAUGAUGUGUCUCGGGAGAAAAUGAAGGCGAAGACUGCUCAGUGUUAUUAGCUGUAACAGGACACUAGCAUUGGUUUCUAUCCGGUAGUUUUCCAAUUAAGGGAAAAUGGUGUCAUUAUAAGUUGGUGGCAUUUGAAACAAUUGGAGUUGGUAUCCAUAGUAUCAUCGAAUCGUGGCAUUUACUCUGCAUGGAGCAAAUAGAGAAGCCGACCUUCUGUGGUGCGGGGAAAGUCGGAAAUGCAGAAGUAAACAUUUUCCUAUUUAAAUAAAUCAUGGCUGGCUAAAUCAAACAUGCUGUGAAUCUCAGGAUUUAUCGCUAAAUCCUGGUAGGGGUUCUCUUUCAGUUAAACAGAGUUUAAAAGUAGAUGACCUAAAUGGUGCACACUGUUAUAAAACAGAAACAUUUCCUUUUUCUCCUCAUUCCUAGAUGAAUUUGCAUUGUUUCUGUGAAGAGUGAAACUGUCUCACUGUGCAUUCUAGUAUGGAAGGUGGAGUAGAAAUGGCAUUUGUCUUAUUUUUAUGGGCCAGAUUUCUGUGCUCAGGAACUCAGGGGACUGAGGAAAAGCUGCUGAUCUGAGGGCAUUGAGGGGAAGAGUUUCUCCUUUGCCACCUUCAGGCACUUGCAUGUAUUAGAUGCAGACUAUUAUGUUUUUUCUUCUGCAAUGUAGAGUUCUCCUUUGCAAACAUAUUCAGCUCCUACAUUCUUUCGAGUGGUUUUACCUAAAAAGGUGGGUGAGGCUUCAGUUUUGCGGAGCGGCAACUGACUUGCCGUUAUUUUCAGCACGUGUUAUUUGCCCUCUGUAACUGGUGGUGUGCAGUCAUUAAACAGCUCAGAGCAGCGUGUGUGUGGAUUCUUUAGCUUGGAUGGUAUGGGUAUGGAUUUUUAUGUGCUGCUAGAUGGAGCAAAAACCAGUUCAACUGUGAUAAAUUAGAGACUCAUCUCCCAAAGCAGGCUUUAAAAUGACUCGAACUAGCUGAAGAAAAAGGUUGUAUAACAUGGGGAGAAGAAAUAAUCUCAGAUCCUGAGCAUGACCGAGAUCAAGCUUUUAAAUUUAGGGUUUUUUGAAUUUUCCCUUAGCCAUUCCACCAGUUGUGUAUAAUAAUUGAAUGUGAAUUGCCAUAAUUUUCAGCAACUCCAGAUUCAUCAUGAAUUUGAAUUAUGAAUAUCGCGUGUGGCCAAGGAAGCUCCUUAUUUGAGCAGGUGCCUGGCGAUGGCAGAAUGUGGUGUGCAGAUCAGAAUGUAGCAGCAUUAAAGCAGCGUUUAAGGUGAGGCACCUUGCCAAGUGGUGGGGACUCGGCUGCUCCGUCCGCACGUUCCGCAGACAGCGCCUGGAAAGGCUCAGUCCCCUCGGGAUCCUCCCGUUUGCAAGGGUGACAUUGAUGUUACACAACACCGGUUUGUCAAACAGACCGUCUGAAAGUGCAGCGCUGGGUCCUUUGCCACCUCGGGUACUGAAACAGAGCAGGGAGUUCUCAGGUAAUGUAAACCCAAAACAUCUACACAAGCGUCUGUGAAAGAACUUGUGUUGUUGCCAGCGCUGCAAAGCGGUGGUAGAAUGUUCUCAUUUUCCACUAAUGGAAUAGUUCCUGAAGCGGAAGCCAGAGGGAGCUCCCCGGCAGGCUGUGGCAAAGCUUGCCCAUUCAGUCAGUAGAAAUAUGGCCUGUUCUGUUACCUGAAGAUGAAAACAAAGAGGAGAGCAUCUCUGUUUACUUUUGCAUGCUAUUAGCACUGGAGAUACAGAACCGUUUGAUCCUAUGGAAUGACAUAAUGCAUAUAUAUGCCAGCAUGUCCGAGAACCAAUGUUGUUUACAUGUUUUAUACUUAUCAUCAUAAAUACGUUGUUUGCUUGUGUGGUCUGCCUCUGCCUUUCUCAAGUCGUAAUGCAGAAUAUAUUCCAGGGAAGGUGCGUGUGUUUAACAAUAUAUGAAUAGCCAUAUGCGGUAUCAUACAUCCCACUGUCGGAUGUCUGAGGGUUAUGUAGGAAGGAGUAUAAGAACAAGAUGAGCACACAGCGAUACUUCUCCUAGGCUCCGGUAGCUUUGUAUGAGAAAAUAAUCCAUAGGUGAUGUCUAGUAGGUUUGCUAAGAAAGGAAAGGAAAGGAAAGGAAAGGAAAGGAAAGGAAAGGAAAGGAAAGGAAAGGAAAGGAAAGGAAAGGAAAGGAAAGGAAAGGAAAGGAAAGGAAAGGAAAGGAAAGGAAAGGAAAGGAAAGGAGAAAAGAAAGCAUGAAAAAUUUCAAAUAAAUAGGUGUUUCUGCUGUUAAAGCAACAGAAAUUCUAGUUGUACUGUUCUACUUUUACUGAAUUAAUUAUAAGAAUUCAUUUAAGGGUACCACACCUGUAUUUACAGGGCAUUUGGCUUGAUGCACUUUUUUGCUCAUGUGCAGGUAUGUUUCAUAUUCUCUUUGAAGUUCCCAAAGGUGCCCAGCGGUUGCUCCGGCCGGGCCAGGAACUCCAUGGGAUUGAUCCCCCUCCCGUCUUGCCGCUGAGGACACUGGUCCCUCCUUCCCCUCCGCAGCAUUUACCUGAAUGUGCAGGGGGGAACUCCGAGCUCGUAGGCGCCGGUUCCAGCCUGUGACCAGGGGAUCCCUGAGGCCGAUGUUCUCACAAAAAGGAUAAAGGGGAGACAGAACUUGAGUCAAUCCACAAGGAGAAACAACACCCAGUGAGUUGAGAGGUAGUUUUCCUGCUUAUGUCUGGAUCAAGUCCGGCCUUCUGUUCUCUGCUGCUUGCUGAUCUUUCGUGACUCGGUGCUGCUGCCGUUGGGUUUCCACCCUGGAACACACAGAUGUUCAUUUACUGACCCUGAACAGAGGCUUUGGAGCCUUUCUUGGGGGUGGGAGGGACUCGGAGUGAGUUAUCUCUGUUUUUCACACCAGAAUGUGUACAUGGUCAGAAGGAAACAGUAUCUGUACAGCUAAUAUGUUUUAGUUUGCAUAGUAAGUGUAUAGCAAACAUCUGGGUACUCAUUAAAGAAUGCUUCAUUAAAUAAAGGUGCUAAUAAGGGUGGGAGGUCUCCAAGAUCCUGCUCAGUACGGCUGCUUCAUGCUCAGCUAACAGCUUGAUCUGCAAUUAAUGUUUUACCUUAGUCAUUGCUAUAAAAUAUGGGUGUUGCUGUUUUCCCGUUAGAGCUGGGGCUAAGUUAUUAGAAAAUCUGAAAAUAACUACCUGUAUUUACUAAACCAGCUGAGCAGCUGAAAUUUCAAAUAACCAAAGCCCAUUUCUUCCUACAGUUACGUUUAUUUCCAUAUUCAAGGGAAAAAUUGUACACAAAGUAUUAUUAAUGAAAAAUAUGUCCCUUGCUAACUUCAAGUGUUUCAAAGCAAAUGCUUUUGUUUCCACACCCAUUAGAGUUCUUUGGGUUUGUUUUUUAGUUGUUAUUUGUACUCUCUUUGACCUUUAGUGAUUUUUGGUUGAUGCAUUUGUAGGAAAAUGCAGAUAAUCAACACAAUUUAUGAUCCAUUUAUGUAAGCAUUCUUUUUUUCUGAGUAAAUUAUGCCACAUCACGUUCCCCUCUGCGUUUUUUCUUUCCUAGCCAAUCACUGGAGCAUUGCACACCUGAAAAUCAGGUAGAAUUGCAAUCUAUCUUGCUCUUUCCCUCAAUUAAAUUCAUCUUUAUGGAGAAUUCACUUAGUUGUAAUUGAUAUUUUAUAACAAGAUUUUGCCAGGGGCUGGUGUAGCGCAGAUAAUUAAUCUCAGUCAGGAAAUGUUGCUCAAAUAAUUUUCUUUGGUAAUCCCACAAGCAGCAUUAUGAACCAGGUGACACGUGACAGUGCGGGGAACGGGCAGGCAGCCCACAGCUCCGGCUCUGCCGUGCAGCAGAUGUUUCUGACAAACAAGUUUGUUUGCAGCUCGGUCACGAGGUGUGUGAUUCAAGCCAUUUUGCUCGCCGUUGUUCUUUGUUAGCGGGCAAGCUCUCAGCUGCCUGCGGAAGCCUCCAGAUUGCUCCUGGGGCUCUGGGGUUCAGCGUGAAAUCGAGGUGCUCUCCACCGCCAUUCAGCAAUUCUGGAGCCUGCAGAGACAUGUCUUCUGCUUUAUUAUUGAAGGCUCUUUUAAAAAUGUAUUUUCUUCUUGAUUUUGGGAAGCUUAAUGAAAAUGUUUCUUUUUGCCACCACAUGAACAGUAGUAGCUCUCCCUGCAAAUUGCUUAGUUAACUUUAGUGCUUCAAGACAAGAAAAUAGCCACUGCUUUAUAAAAUAAAACCGAAAAUGACUAAUAGGCAUCGUCAACUCAUUUAACAUUUUGCAUCAAAGACUUAAUGAUGAUCAAAGAGCCAACAAGGGAAACAGAGCUGUAGGUGUGUAAGUGGAGCAGCAGGAACCCUAUCGCUUCAUUGCAGAGGAGGCAAAAUGAAUCCUGAGCUUUGCUUUCAUGUUUCAUUAGGUGCUUGUCACAGCCACAAAACCUAGGCCAGCUUGAGGAAGUCCCUCGUUGGCUUAGCCAUGAGAAUGGAGAAAUCUGGGAGGCAAUUUUCAUUAGUCUUCAUGUAAGAUGCUUUAUCUGUCCGAACCUGGAGUGGUACAAGACGCAGCAGUGGAGGCUGCAGUGUAGACGAAGUGCUGCCAGCUCUAGCCAGAUGUGCAAGUGUCUGCCAGUUGUUUGUUUCAGUGAAUUCUCUGGUACUGAAAAGUUAAAUGCUAUAAUAGUCUUUGGGUAAUAAGUGUGAAAUUGAAGAAUGGGGAAGAUUCAUUUAAAGCUUACCCGCUUUAGGUACUUUGACAAUUUCUUUCCAUGUUUUGUGUUUUGAGGGCUUUUCUAAAACCAUUUCACAGCAUCGUGUGUGUAUAUACAGAUGCAGACAGAUAUACAGCAGUCUCCCAAGUAUGGCUGUUCUCCAGAUACAGCUCUACCCAGAUGGCACUCAGAACCUUUGGCCCUCUCAGACGCAUCUGGCACUGCACGGUCUGAUUUCUUGGUUUGCAUUGACGCUGUACUAGCUCCCGUGGGUACAGAAGUACCCCGAACUGCCCUGCUGGAAGCACUGUUUGGAACUUAGAAUGGAUAUGGCAAUCACUUUUGAACUCUGAAGUUAUGUAAAGCAUGUGGUCAUCUUAUUGUGAUUUCAACUGGCUCCUUUUGUUAUGGAAAGUCAGGGUAGUGAAAAUUCUUAUUACAGUAAAUUUGAUUUUUAUUUAUUCUAUAUAAAUGUAUGCAUGCAUAUGUAUAUUCGCACACAAAUAUACAAAAUAUAUAUUUUAAAAAUAUGGAACUUAUACACUCUGGUGUUCGCAUACCCCCUAAAGUUUCUAACUGUUGGACAAGAGCCACUGCGGAUGGGGCCAGUGCAGAGCCCUGCGCCGUGGUCCUGUGUCUGCCCGGCUGGAACCCGGCGCCCAUGCGGGAUCCCUUUGGCACUGUCUCAGAUUCUCAGGUAUGUUUACAAUGCCUCUCAAUUCACUCAGCACACGUGAGCAAUGUAAACUGCCAGUUAACUGGAAAAUCCUGCGUCCUUCCUAUGGCCGAGGCUGCUCUGUAGCUUCCCGUCCCGCUUCCAACACGUGCGCCGCUAACCCCUCUCUUCAUUGUUUUGCCACAGACAUGCUGACGGAGCUCCAGUAGUGCUUGGUUUCCAGUUCUGUAGUGUAGUAGUUUGCUAGUUGCACGUUAUUAUAUUUAACUUAAAUUUGUAAGCCUUUUCUUCCAGAAAACAAUGAUGCUUUUUUAAAAAUCUGAGCCCGUUUUCAGUUCAGUAGGUUCAUAGCCUACAGAAGGAGCAGAAUUACUAAAACAUUUACUGGACAUGUGUAGUGAUAAAAAGGUCGUUUUCCAUGUUUAGAAGAAGCAUCAUAACCUCUGACAGACUGAUGCACUACAAUUUAAAUCAUUGCAUCUGCUUAUGUGGAUACCUCCAUCCAUUUUCUUUCAGAAAUUAUGAAAUCAAUAGAAUAGAUUCCGCUUUACUGAGUAAUAGGGAAACAGCACAUUGAUCACAGGACUUUGAAUCCAUUUAACAGCUUGUGUCAUUCAGUUACAUUUCCUGGGAAACAAAAGGGGCACACAUAUUGAUCUAUAGUAUCUAUCUUGUCAUCUGCUGCUGCUUCUUAAAUGCUAGGUAAUCAAAGAAAAAUAUCACUGACAUGCAGAGAAAUAAUCAUUGAUUGGAAGUGCAUGUGUUGAGGUAGGUUUAAAGUGAGAUGAAUUCUGAAAUUGUAAUCCCGAUGUUUCUGGGCAGCUUUGACGAGCUUUGUCGUGGUACAUGAGAAAUGAGCUUCUGGCAGCACAGACUGUGGCUCGAGCUGCCUGCAGGUGUGUGCGGGGAAAGAUGCUCCUUGGAGCCGUUUGUUUUCCUGUACAUAUGUAACGUUUGCAGCCUGAGGACUGUAGGGAGGUGCCUGCAGCAUAUGGUCACACACAGAAGUACUUCAGCUGCAGACUCUCAGAGCGCUUGUUCUGAACUGUGGAUUUAAAAUCUGCUGAUGUGAGGAUGAGAAACAAAUUGUUUCUCUAGAAACUAAGAUGAAGAGUGGAGCAAAGUCUGCCGGUGAACCAGUCCUGUGCUGCAGCCACGUACUGCUCCACACCAACAGGUCUUUUAGGCUUUGAACUGUCUGCAAUCGUAAUGUUAAGUAUGUAUAAAGGAGAUAUACCCAACAGGAAUGGUCUCUGUGUUCACGGAUGAAGUUGUAAGUCUCUGCUCUUAGGAUAUAAUGUAAUGGGGCCAGUUUGGUGUGUUAAUUUUCACAUUCAAUGAUUGUUUUUUUGCUUUGCUGUAUGACGCUUGCACAGAGCUGCUGCUGGCUGCUUGAGGAGGGCAGUACUCUCACUAUAUAGCUCUCAAAAGGACACAUGAUAUCCAAACACAUUUUAAAUUAACCAUUCCAUUUUAGGUUUACUCAACAGCCUUUGUUUUCUGUUAUUUUUCAGUCAAGUAUUCUGAAAUGCCAUGCAAGGACACUUGUAGAAUUUAGAUCUUUGUGGUACCUGGGUGGAUACUGGUUUGGGGACUUGUGCAGAGAGUGUCCUGGUGUCUACUGAAGCUUCUGGGCUUUCUCCCUGUGGGAGGAUUUUCUUACCCUGGGUGAGCAGUCACACACAGGACAGCAGUGUGCCUGACUUGGUUACUCCAAGUGCUUAAUUCGCAGUAAUCAAGAAACCUUACACAUAAUGUUGAAGCGGUUUCAGAUUUGUGACUCUCAGGAACAGCGCUGUCCUUGCAGAUGAUCCGCAAACAAAAAAGGAAAGGCAGCUGCUUCUGGCCACAACAGACAAAGAUGAGAAGUUUGAAUGGAGAGUCAGUUUGUCCAGCCAUAUUAUUAAACAAGAUGUUUUCAAACACUUCAGUUCUCAAAUUACAUUAACAUGCUGGACCUUUGCCUCACGGAGGAUUAAACAUAGAUCUCGAAACUUUAAUGUCUUCAAAUUGAAUUAUAUACAAUUGGCUGCUGCUAUCAGCAACACAAUUCCUUUUCCUUCUUUGGAAAACCUCAAUUCCCAUGUUGUAUGUAUGGCUGGGGUUGUUUUCAUGGCUCUAAACUCGAGCUGCAAAUAGUAGUGAAGCUUGUUAAUAAACAUCUGAUCUUCAUGGAACUCUGGGAAUAAGUGGCAUUUAAAUAAUAGGCUUUACUUCUAACAAACCCCAGACUGCAUCACUGCGAUGUUUUAGUAUGAAAUCGGUUCUUCUGGCAAGACGUCACCUUGAAAAACAAUGCUGACUGACUUUCCUUUGGAAAACCCGGUAGAAGGCUGGGGUGCCUAAAAACAGGGCACGCGGGAUCGGUGUGAGCUCUGAAGCUGCUUCGUAUGGCAGAGUGGCGGAGAGUCUGAAACAGCAGGGCCAUUGGCCUUUACGUGUUAUCGCUGGAGUUAAUGCAGCUGGAGGGAGUUCUUUCAAAUGAAUUUGUCAAAUAACAUCUUCCACUGUACAGUGUGUUACUACAAAACUGAAGUUAGAGCACUUCUUGAAAUAUAAACUUCUCCACGUCCCCCAUUGUUACUCUUGCCAGUUGCUCUAGGAAUCCAGGCCCCAACUUUGUAAGUAUGAACUGAGUUUAAUAUACUUCUGUUGCCUCUGUACAGAAAUUCAGUUUUACUUUUGCACAGCAUUCUCAAAUUAAUAAAGCCAACUCAGCUUCCUAAUCUGACUAUUUUCUCUAGAUAUUUCCUAGAUAUUGCUUUUCUUAUAGAUUUAAAAUCUCUUUGAGAUACUGUGAUUGUAUUUUUAUUUGGAAAGCAUGUUAUAAAACGAGGUGUUUGGGCAUUCUUCUGUGCUGAACAGUCCUGGAAUCACGGCAGAACCCCGGGAGGCAAAGAGAAGCCUCCUCAGGGAGGAAAAAAGAAAGCAAGCUUGUGUCUAUAGGUUGCACAGGGCUCAAAUAAAAUUCAGUUACAUUUCUAGUAUGCCAAGUAGAAAAAUGUGGUCAGAGUUUUCCUAAAGCUCUUGUUUUCCUCUGAUCUGUUUCUGGCUUUGAAGCAAACCUUUUGGUCACUGCACCGUGUGGUGUCUGGAAGAGAUCCAACAAAAAUCUCCCAUCGAUCAGUUGUUUUUCUGAACAAUCAGUUGCCUGCUUAGGUUUGUAAUCCAGCUUCAGCUGGUAGACCUGGGACAAUGAGCUGAACUCCUUGAACAGGCAGGACGGGCUUUCCAUGCGCAAAACCUCCAGAGCCAGCGCAACUCUGCUCAGGAAUCGGAGUCAUUCAGACCCCGAGUCAGGAGAGCUUUUUAUUUCGAAGAGCAGCAUUGAACAUGUAUUUAAGUACUCUGCUGUCUAAAAGGUUCAUUAAAAUAUUUGGAACACAAAGUAUGAAAAGAGAAAAUUAGAAGCAGGAAUUUCAAUGGUAUUCUUUAAAAUUUCUAGUCCUUCCUUCUGAAUGCUGCCUUUUUGUAUGUGAGCACUGCCCGUUAUGUCAGUAAAGCUAUAUCUGAAAGACAGGCUUAAUUUGAACUAUAUUUUCAGGUUUUGUUCCAAUGCCUGAUAUCAACUGAGUGAUUAGUCCUGGCCUACUUACCCACGCAGUUCCGCGGCAGCCCCUGCGGUUGGGCUGUUCUGCGCGGUUCAGCCAGCCAGUCAUGAGACGCCUUUUCUGAAUUGAAUCCCGGUGUGGACGUCGCUGCCGGGAGCAGCGCAGGUUUCCAGGAGCAGCAUCCCUGUUGUGAGAUUGCAGCGGGACCCCAGAGACCUCAACAACACCAGGGUCAUGAGUUGGUGGCAACCGUGACUCAGAAGAGCCAUCCCACAUGAGAAAAUCAUCCGUCCAGGCCAGUAUCUUGUCUCAGACAGUGGUCCAUGGCCUUGCCAAGGUCAAUAGACAGGAAGAGUAAGGCAGCAUGCUGUUAUACAUGUCUGCCUUCAGUUCUUGAAGAUAUCUUGAUUCACUUGCAUUGCGCUAAUUAAUGCAGGGUACAGCUGCAUGGCUGACAAAUGAUUCUCCAGCCAGAAAAGACACCGCAGCAGAGCUUCCAGCCAUGUAUCCGUCAGAUGCCUCCUCGUUUCUGGGAGGAGCUCAAUCUCUUCAUUAGUUUCUGGUCUGUGAUAUUCAAAUUAGAAUUUCCCACAGCUUGUUCCUUAAGGGCCAUUUGUUUGGGACGUGAGGCAAAGGGCUGCAUAACAAGAGCCAGUGCUGAACUGCCAGCCACUGGGGCUCUUUGGCUCAGGGCUCUUUGGAGUCUUUUUUGGAAUGUGCCCUCCGUGCCGGCGGGGCAGAUCUCUGGGCACAGCCAGGCUCCACUAGUGGGGGCACUGCAUUACUGGGCAGAAUUUAGAUGUGAGAGACUAAAAUUAACGCCAAUGUUACCUUACAAGUUCUAAUUCUGUUAAGUAACUUCACCAUAUUGUGAGUGCUUUGGUGGUUUGUCACUCAGCGACUAAUUAAAAGGGGGCAGGCUGAAGAUGUUCCAGCUCUCUGUGUUGAAGUGCGGCAUUCUGAAGCUGCCGCGGUGCCGUGCAGUGUGUGAUGCUCAGCAAUGGUGCAGCCAAUGUGUGCUGGGUGUCCGGUCAGGCUGCCUGGAAUCCCAUCACUGCUCAUAGGAGUGACUUCCAGCAAGUUCACGCAGAGUAUAAAGAGCUGAUUUUAUGUGAUGGCCAGUGUAAUGGCUGGAAUAUCAUUUCCAGUUUUGUUUCUGUGGGAGGGUGUUAUUCUGGCUGUGAUCCUUCUUUUUGCCUGCAGUGGUUAGAUGCUUCAGCCUUACCGAGCAAAUGGACUAGUAAGAUCCAAAGUGUUCAGCAGCGCGAGGUUUCACACCGUCCUCAAGCAAGGGUCAAUGUUUCCAUGUAAUGAAGCCGCGCUUUGGAAUAUUAAGAAAUCAUUUGAUCCUUUGUAACUGAGCAUGUCACAGAAUCAGCCUGUGAUGAAACGGGAUUCUUUCUUCUGUGUGCUGCCAGUUUGUACAAAGAAGCUGUGACUAGCAGCAACUCACUGAGCAAUAUCUAGCACAGUGUCUUAAAUAUUUAAUAUAUUAUUCUGCCUUCCUUUCCUCGGCAUUAAAAAGGUGCAGUACCAUGCUGCUUCUCGCACCAAAGGUUUGACAGAGCUCAGAACUGUCUUUUCCCUUCACACACAUGCACUCUGAGUUGUCAUUUGCGGAUGAUGCAUCUUUGUACUGUGAUGCUCUGUGGGAAUUUCACUUCUUAGCCAAAAGAUGAUAUAUUUAAACAGUCUUUAUUUGGGAUCAAGCUGUGGAUUUGCUUCAACUACAAUUAUUUAAUCUGCCACCAUUGUGCAUUUUCAUGCCAGAAGAGCAUCUUGGCUUUUCUCAAAGAGGUAUUUUUCAUGCCGUUUGCAGAAUGUCUGCUUAUGAUAUGUAGUUAUUUGUGGCUUCCGUCAGCAAUAAGCGAGGGAGCGCUGUGCUCUCGCGUGUCCUGCGGUUCACAGCUGAUGAAGCAGCCGCAGCCAUCUGCACUGAUGGAACCGGACUGUCCCAUCCAGCCCAGCGCUGUCCCCAGGACGGGGCCUGUCGCAGUGUGCGGACUCUCACAGCAUUAUCUGCUCUGCAUAGUAAGAACCUCUGUGUAACUUGCGCUCCGUCAAGGGAGUUAACAAACACUCUGUAAAAGGUUUAUAUUAUAGCACAAAGUGCUGGACGGCUAGAAUUCCUAUAUUCUGUCUAUGCAGUCAGCAGGAGCGCAGUUCCUAUGCGGCUCUGCACACGGUGCUUACCGCUGUCAAAUUGACAUCUUUCUUAGAAAUGUCUUAAUGAUUUACAUUGUCACCGUUCCAUCCUGAGACACCAAAUAGCUUAAAUUAAGGUCUCUGUCUGUAAUGCAGAUCAAUAACACUCCGUGUCUAUUAUCACAGCUGGGGAAAGCAAGAUAAAAGAUUGUCAGUUCUUCAUUCUCUGCCUUCUCUAUGUCCAUAAGUCAUAAGGAGCUCCAUUGAUGCAGUUUCAGAAGUAAUCUUCAGUAAGAGUGGUUUUAUAUUUAUGAAAAAAAGUUUCUUUCAUCACAAACAUAGCAAAAUAAGACAGAACUUGUGUCAUUGCUCAAGGUACCAAAAAGCUAAUUGUGUGUCUCGCUUAAAUCUGCUAAACCAUUUUGGAAUAUUAGCUUUUAAACAGCCAACUGCUAGGGAACCUGUACCCUUGGGUUGGCUCACUCCCCAACUUAAAUUAGCCCCCUGUAUACACAGUGCGAGUAAGAGGCGUUACACCCCUGGUCUUGCUUUUUGCUUCAGGACAGAACUCUCAACUGGAAUUGUAUUUACUCUCUUUGUCUAUGGAUACCCGAAGCCCACUGAAUCAGACAACAGCUGUCCGAAUUUGAGACUUUGAUUUCUUGGUAAUACUUUUAUUUUCUCCUGUGUAAUACCCUGCAGAAGUGGGCUAUUGGUGAUUUCUGUGCUGGCUGAUGAAAAGAGAUGCAAGCUCUAAGCAAGUUUGUAAUACAGGAGUUGCGUGUAUCCAUAUUUUAGCAUUGAAAGAGGUUGUUAUUACCAACAAUUACACCCAUUCUUCAAGUUUCACACCGACCACGUUAGUGCCGCCUAAUCCCACGGGGCAUAGCCCUGUGUGCCGCGUUUAGUUACAGUUCAUGCAACGAUUCCUCUGCCUUUGCCUGAAAAUGUCAACAAUUUUCAUGACGAAGAGAUGUCAUUUAACUGACUCAUCACUGAAACUGGUGCACUUUUCCACAACUCCCUACCUAAAAGGCCCUUGCAAACUCCAUGGAAACCAACUCAGAUACAGAACAGCCUGCAGGGUUGUUUAGAGCAUUUUUCCCUGAUAAUGCAGGAUAGUUCCGCAGUUUGUUUUCUUCAUAAGUCUUUUAGCUCAAUUUUCAGCAAGUUCCUUGGGCAUAGUUCUACUGUUUGCUGGGGCUUUACUUCAUUUCUUGUGUAUGUACAGAGUGGAAAUUGUACAUAUAUAGACAAAUCCAUUAUAUUUUUAAUAGUGUGUUUUUAAUAGCUUUAUCAUCAGACAGCGCAUAGAUUUAUUUCUGGACUACAAAUGCAUGGAGACAGUGCCCAUUAGGAAACAACAAAUAGGAUUGUUAGACCAUCCUGCUUGAUCCUUUAGAACAGGGCAAUUUUCUUUUUCCUGCCCAGUUAAUUUGUUUAAAAUGAAACAAACCAAAACAACCUUGAAGUAACCUAAAAUAGAUAUAUUUUUAUUGUUCCCGAAACAGGCAUUCCUGAGAUUACUUUGUGUAGAAUGAGAUCUUUUGUUUGUUGUAAUUUAAUGAUACUUUGUGCAGGAUUUAUGUUAUUGUUAUGCUUGAAAUUAACUUUGCAUUUUUGAGCAGUGUUUGGAAAGAAAGCAAAAGAUUUAAAUGAUAUUGUGGAUGUAAAGAAAGAAGGGCAGUGAUUAUAUAAUUAUACUAAACUUAUUCUGUAAAUUUAACAAGGAUUAACUAAGUUUCUGUACCCCAAAUCCGGAUCUUUCUGAAGAUUUCCAAUUUGAUUUCUUCUGUCUCCACUGGCUGUUUUUUCUUGGCCAUUAAACUUUGUUUUUCAUGUUGUCA